UACAGAGGUCUCAAGCGUUGUUCGGAUUCACUGGGCGUAAAGGGUGCGCAGGCGGCCAAGUGUGUGAGGCGUGAAAGCCUGGAGCUUAACUCCAGAAUUGCACCUCAAACUACAUGGCUAGAGCAUUGGAGAGGGUAGCAGAAUUCACGGUGUAGCAGUGAAAUGCGUAGAUAUCGUGAGGAAUACCAGAGGCGAAGGCGGCUACCUGGACAAUUGCUGACGCUCAGGCACGAAAGCGUGGGGAGCAAAAGGG
rnacentral:rRNA from 1 species